GGUUGUGGCUCAGUGGGCGAGUGCUCGCCUAGCAUGCAUGAGGCACUGGGUUCGAUCCUCAGAACCA
rnacentral:tRNA from 1 species